UCUCUCUCUCUCUGACGUCUCUUUCUAUCUUCUCAUCCUCCACAGAGAACAGACCUCUAGAAGCGGUUCCCUACCAAAGGACCUCGUCCGCACCGGAGCUUACUCAGAUCUCUUCGCUUUCAUCACUGACGACGAUUUGUUAUCCACAAUUGGAAGCAGGAGACAGCAAAAUGAGCCAAGACGCCAAGAGAAGAGUUUCUGGGACUAUGCCGACGAAGCCGAAUUUCGACGAUCGGAAACGCUCGCCGGCUGUCACCACCUCCACCAGCAAGCACGUUUGUUGUGUUAAUCACUGGAUUUGAUUCGGAAAUAGGUUUUUCGCUUAGGGAAUUAUGGUUUUGUUCAAGCAUUUGAGACUCAUAGCGUAGAGAAGGACGUGGCGAAAGGAGUUUGACUCGAGGCACAUACCUAUCUGGCAUUGCAUCGUCGGUCGCAAUUUCGGGGUGGCAGUCCUUCAAUCGAAAUGUAUACUAUUCCUGAACAUGCAAAUAAUGAGAUUUAUAUGAUCCAAGGCAUGGAACUGAAUAUGCAUUUUACCACUCCCUUUGAACAAGUUGAUGCCAUGUACAACGAAGAAGCCCCGGGUAUAUAGUUGAUCAGGGCCUGUAGUAUUCUACUGCCACAACCUAUGGGUAGUACUGUACAGGAUAUCUAUCUGGAAGAUUAGAAUAUGCAUAGACUCUAUAUUUUUAAAUGAAGAGCUUCAGAAGGGGUAAAAGAGAUUUUACAACUAACAAUGGUCUUUGGUUGCUACAUUUUCAUUUCGAUUGGAGUUUGCAGAUGUGUUUGUCAUUUCCACCAUUAGUGGUUUGAUGUUAUCUUUAUGUCCCUACAUAUUUUUCACUUUGUCAAACACCAGUUGGCUUACUUUAAUAUAAGUUUUCCAUACACAGACAUCUAGAAAAUGAUGGAUAACCAGGAAUGGACAAAGAAGAUAAGGGUUCUUGGGAGUUAUGUAUUGUCGGCAUUUUUAUCAUGUAAUUUUUAGGGUGAUUUAGGCCAUUUGCAUACUUCCUUUGGAUCAAAGCCCUAUUGAGUAGUAUCUACAUUUUCAAAUUUAGUCCACCUCGAACAUGAAUCAGAUUAUUUGCUUAGUUGAAAGCAAAAUAAAAUCCCAAUUGCUUUUUAUAUACCUGUCUUGUAGCUUUUGUCAUCACAGCUUUCACCACCAUUUCUUCUACUGUGAUUAUAUUGCUUAUAUUGGUAUCACUUAAGAUCUUCAAUAAGCAUUUUUAACUCAAUUGAUAAAAAUAGUUCAAGACUAGUUCUCCAGGGUAUGAAUACUUUCCUUUGAUAAAAAUAGAAAGUGUGUCUGUGUGCUUGAGAGGCAGGUUUUUCCAUGAACUAGACAGAGACCUCCAACUAAAGAAAAACAAGUAAGCACUUGGUUUCCAAUGCAUGUAAGACCUAGAGUGAGAUUUCUGGCUUUUUCCUAAUGUUGAGUUCAUCUCGAUUUUCAGUUGUAAUGGUUCAUCUUGAUUUCUGGCUCUUAAUUACAAUCAGGUACAGUUUGUAUCUUGGUUGCUCUGCCAACUCAUUCUUGGCUUUGGCUCAUCUCUAUCUUCAAGUAUAUAAGAUACAGUUACCUUUCAUUUUUGUGCAGUUGCAGUUUCAUUUUAGUACGUACUGUCAGUGGCAAUUAUGACAAAAAUUUAGUUUUUGCUACAGAGUUACACGAUCAUGAGAAUUAAUUGAAGAAAUGUAUCAUAAGAUUGGUUUGUAUGGAAUCCCUUUCUAACUUCAGUUAAUUUGAUUAUGCUGCAGCUCAAUUCAAGUUUUUAUGACAGUCAUCAAAUAUACUCCCCAGGCAUACAUGAACUUCAUAAGAAAGAGCACAGAUGGAUCAAGUAUUAUCUUUAUUCUACUUGAUCUUUCGGGAGGAGUGGGAAGUUAUGCACAAAUGGCCGUGCAGUCUAUUGAUCAAGAUUCUUGGGUGAACUUCUAUGGAAACAUAGGGAAGACACUGCUAUCUUUGAUAUGUGUAUCAUUUGAUCUUCUUUUCAUUUGCCAACAUUAUGUGCUGUAUCCUUCCAAGAAGGCAUUGAUAUCUCCUAAAAUGAUCACCAACAAGGAGGACUUGGAGCCCCUUGUCAGUUCUGAUAAUCACCUGCCAAGUGUCUGAAAAUGUCUAGAACUUUUGUUUUGCUGGUGAAAAUUGUACAAAAGCUUCGUUGGGCCCAAGAUGUAUGCUUUUAUUUUGUAAUGAUUCUGCAAAAAAGUAUUGUUCUGACUUUCUGGACAGUAUAACCCAUUUUACUUGGCCACUUGGCUCUCAAACUUUCGUUUGGGGCUUAAAUUAAUUGGGUUUUGUUUCUCCUUAAA